UGAACAGAUUAUUUUAUUCGACUGUAUUCAGCGUGAAACCAUUAUUUUUAAAUGGAAAGUGAAUCAAUUAACAUAAUAGACUCCU
rnacentral:pre_miRNA from 1 species